UGAAAAUUUACCCUAUUGAAUUCAUAUCACUUUGUCCUUUUCUAAUCAGAAUGGUCCCUUGCUAUCAAAACUAGCUUAUCUAGAUUACCCUUAUUCAUCAAAUAGCAGUGAAAUCAAUACCUAUGUUAAUUGUUCAAGUAAGAAGGAUGGUCAUUCAAAAGAUUUUUUGCCGGAUAGAAACGCUAAAAACCUUGAUCACUUUGCUCUGUCCAGCUAAAACGUGAAUGCCAUUUAUGACUCCAAUGGAAAAAAUGGCGUUUCAGAUGCUUCUCCAGCUCACAAAAAGGAUAAGAUAGCUUUCGAAAGCAACGAAAGGUUGGAAGAUAGCUCACCAAUUACCUCAAAUGUCAGCGGCUCUCAUCGUAUGGUGCAUUGCCGUGAAUGUCUUGGUUCCAAGAAUCCCGGUGUUAAUGAAAAUGAUAUAGAGAGCGCAGGUGAUUCUGAAGAUGGGCCCUUUGAUGACCAGUAUGUCUACAGCCUAUGCUUAGAUAGUAAUUUGCAUCUCUCUGCAUAUAAGGCCUCUAGGCUUAUUAAGCAUAGACAGUGAAAUCGAUCGAAAAAAUGAAGAUUAUUUGGCCAAAUUGACAAAAAGAAAGUGUUCUAUCUCUCCCCUUUCUGAAGCGGCAAAGACUGUUUGCUUUGGGAAAUCGCUUGGCAUCAUUUUCCAUGGCGAUGAGGCUUUUGGUUGAGGAUUUCACCAAUAAUAUUUCCAGAGACAAAUCUUUAUGUAGCAAUGCGAUCUAACAGGGCUGCUAUGUGGUGAUUUCUCAUCUGGUAUUGUGGUGAUUUCUCAUCUGGUAUUCUCUGUGGUUGUAUUUUCUCCUGUUUUUGAGUUUUUCUCAGUUUGCUUUUAUUUUUAACUAUUAUAUGUUAGUAUGCCUGUGAUUCUUUCUUGGAAUGCAAGGGGUUUAGGAGGUAAAUCGAAAGCUUCACACCUGAAAAAAUUAAUCUUCAAGCAUAAAGUUGAUAUGGUUCUCAUCUUGGAAUCAAAAUGUUGUAGUUCCUCAGUGCCUUUCUCUAUUAUAAGAAAUUUUUGGGGUAUGGCUAAUUUGGAUUGGGUAGGUGUGGAUGUUGUUGGUUUGUCUGGAGGAAUCUUAUGCAUCUGGAAUAAAGAUUAUGUGAGCGUCUCUUGCAGUUUUAAAUUCCAAUCAUGGAUGCUUCUGUCCUGCCGCUUUUCUUCCCCGAUUUUUAGUUCGUUCGUUGAUGUCAUCUAUGCCCCUUGUUGAAAGCAAGAACAACAAUGUCUUUGGGAAUCCAUUACUCAUGAUCUUACUAAUUUGGCAUAACCUGUUUUAAUAAUGGGAGACUUUAAUCAAGUGUUAGACCGCUCGCAAAGAUCCAGUGGUAAUGCUUCUUCCUCAGGUGUUCGAUUUUUUAAGAAAAUGGUGGAUGAUCUCCUCUGGUUGAUAUAGAUUUGUGUAGGCGGAAAUUCACAUGGCGUAAUUCUCUUUCUAAGAAUCGAAUUGAUAGAGCUCUUGUCUCUUUCCAUUGGUUGCAAGAUUUUCCUAAUCUCUGUUUAGUUGGGUUGCCAAGGGGACCUUCAGACCAUAAUCCUAUUUUGCUAAUAUCUGAGCUUGCUCUUGACUGGGGACCUAAGCCUUUUCCUUUCCUUGAUGCAUGGUGGUCUUGGCCUGGUUUUGUGAAAUUGAUGGAAUCUUUUUGGAAUGAAAUUAUGGAUGUUAAUCCCUCUACUUCUCUCGUAGUGAAACUAAAGCUGCUUCGCCAAAAAUUGAAAUCUUGGAACUCUGAAGUUUUUGGGUAUGCUGAUAUUAAUUUAAAGCAGAUUUGCUCUAAGAUUGAUGAGUUAGAAAUUGCUGGGGAGAACAGGAUAUUAACAUCUGGGGAAAAAAAAGAAUUUUCUUUCAUUAAUGGCUGAUAAAGCUUCUUAGACUUCUCAUUGUGAAAGUAUUUGGAGACAGAAAGCUCGUAUGGCUUGGUGUAAGUUAGCGGAUAAAAAUACAAGAUUUUUUCAUUUAUAGUGUUUGAAUCGAUGGAGGAAGAAUACCAUCCUUAAAAUCUCAAAUGUAGAUAUGUCCUUUCAUGAUGCAACUUUAAUAAAGAGGAUCAUUGUUGACUAUUUUAAAGAUCGCUUUUGUAAACAACGUUCUUUUUCUGAUAUUCUCCUUAAUAUGCCUUUACAAUCACUUCCAUCAAAAUUUUCUGAAAGUCUUGAAUUGCCCUUUUCUUUGGAAGAAAUAAAAUCGGUUGUAUGGCAAUAUGAUUCUUCUAAAGCUCCUGGCCCUGAUAGUGCAAAUUUCUACUUUUAUAAAUGGGCAUAGCCUCUUAUUAAGGAGGACCUCUCUAGGCUUUUUUAUGAGUUUUUCACCAGUGCUUCUCUUUCAUCUCCUACUCAUGCCUCUUUUAUUGCUUUGAUUCUAAAAGUUAUGGGUGCCUCAAGAGCAAAUGAUUUUAGACCAAUAUCCAUGGUGUUUAUAAAAUAGUUUCUAACUUGUUGGCUGCUAGGCUUAAGAAAGUACUCUCUCUGAUCAUCAGUAAGAAUUAAUGUGCUUUUGUUUCAAGUAUGCAGAUUCUUGACUGUUUUCUCAUUACUUUGAAAGUAAUUGAUUUUUCACAAGAAGGCUGGGAAGGGAUAUUUUAUAUUCAAAUUAGAUUUUGAAAAAGGCUUUUGAUACUGUUUGCCAAAACCAUCUAGACCACACUAUGUCAUGCAUGGGUUUUGUGUUAAAAUGGAGAAAAUAAAUAUGGACUUGUGUCUCAAAGGCAAGAGUUAAUAUUUUAAUCAAUGGGUGCCCUUCAGAGGAAUUCUCCUAGUAGAAUGGCCUACGCCAAGGUGAUCCACUUUCUCCUUUUUUAUUUAUUAUUGCUGCUGAACUGUUAGAUUUUCUUAUCAAUUCAGCCAUCAACAAUGGCCAUCUUAAAAGUGUUGAGGUAGGUGCUGGAAACCAUAGCUUCUCCAUUUCUCAUUUAUGCUUCGCAGAUGAUACUCUCCUUUUCACUACCCCUCAUACUGAUAAUGUUCUGGCAAUCUAAAGAAUCCUUCGUUGCUUUUAUUAUAUUUCUUGCUUGAGUGUCAAUUUCCAUAAGAGUAUGCUUUUUGGUAUUGGUGUUGCUUCGGAUGUAACUCAGGAAGCUGCUAAUCUCUAUUGCUGUAAUUAUGGUUCUUUACCAACAAGAUAUUUUGGUUUUCCUCUUGGUACUAAUAGUAGAAGAUGCACCACAUGGUCACCAAUAGUCCAAAAUGUUGAAAAGAGAUUGUCUUUUUGGAAAGGUAAAGUUCUCUCAAUAGCUGGAAGGUUAACUUAGAUCAAGUCAUGCAUCAACAGUUUGCCCCUUUAUUAUCUUUCUAUCUUUAAGGUCUCCAAAAAGAUAGCUAAUAAAAUUGAGACUCGUAUGCGAAACUUUUUUUGUCUGGUGGUAUGUCUAGUACAAAAUUACACCUUAUCAACUGGAAUACUCUGAUUCAGUCUAAAACAGAUGGUGGUUAAGAGAUUAAAGACAUUAGUCUACAAAAUCUGGCCCUUCUCUUUAAUUGGAUUUGAAGACUUAGCACUGACCAAGAAUCUCUUUGGGGUCGGGUCUUAAAAUCAAAGUAUCCUUUUCAGGUGGAUGGUGGGCUUGCUAUAGCUGUGGGUAAAAAAUUGUUCCCUAUUUGGACUGACAUCCAAAAAUCUUUAUCUAUAAAGGGCGCAUUUUUUAUUUUGGAAAAUAUCUCCUUUGCUAUUUGUAAUGGAGAUUAAAUUAAGUUUUGGCAUGACAAAUGGCUUAGUGAUACACCUUUGAAAUUUAUUUUUAUCAGUCUUUUUAGUUUAUCAUUAGAUCAGGAUGUUGUGGUGGGCGACCUAGGUUAUUGGAUCUGGAAGCUCUUUUGGAAGCACAACCUAUGGGAGUGGGAGCUUAUCUCUCUAGUCACUUGCUUGCUGCUAUUAGUAAUGUGAAUUUAUGCAAUUUUAAGCAAGACCGUUUCAUUUGGAAAUCGGAGAAAAAUAUGCUUUUUUUUCCAUGAAAUCUCUUUAAAAAUAUGCUUUUUUUUUUUUCUAUGAAAUCUCUUUAAAAAUGUUUGCUAGCCUCAUCUUGUGAUAUGAAGUUGGGUGUACCUUUUGUUUAGUUAGGUAUUACUCCACCAAAAGUUGGAAAUCUGAUUUGGUUGAUAAGUCAUGGUAGAUUAUAUUCAAAAGAUUGUUUUUGUCAUCUUGGUAUUAUUCCACCUGACUAGAAUUUAUGUCCGAGAUGUGGUAUGUUUGUGGAAACUAUCUCUCAUAUCUUUAUUCACUAUUUGUUUUCUUGGAAUGUCUGGGUAUGGUUCCUUAGAUGGUGGAGUUGUUCUUUUUGUGUUCCCAUCUCCGUCCCAUCUGUUUUAGUUGAAGGACAAUUUUUAGUGGUUGAUAAAUUUCAAAGAAAAUUUUGGGUUGCUUUAGCUUAUGCAAUUCUAUGGUCCCUUUGGUUGGCGAGAAAUGAUAAAAUCUUUAAUGAGAAAGAUGCUUAAUUAAUGAGUUUUAUUGUCUUAUUUUGCACCGUGUUUCUACUUGGAUGAAGGCUCUAGAUGCUGCGUGAGGCAAACUGGAUUGCAGACUUCUUAGCCAAACAAGAAAAUAGUGUAAAAGGUAAUUUGGAGAAAAUACUCUUAAAAUUGCGUAAAAAGGAACAAAGGAAAAUAAGCUUAUUGUCCAAGUCAACUUGCAGCUGAAGUGAAGAUAAAUAAUGAAAGAGCCAAAUAAGGAAAGUGCAGUAGUGAAGAUAAAUAAGAAAAGCGCAGUCAGCAGAAUAAUUUGAAAUUCAAAUUUCAAAUCUUCCUUCCUUUAUUUAAAAUGUGAAGACACCUCAGCAUUUAGUUCUGCCUAUUCAGGAAGCCAAAUCUCAAGAAGAUGCACUUGCCUCUCAAGCAUUCAAAAUUUGAAAUUCAAAAUUCAAAAGGAGGCUUCACCUGACAAGCAAACUUAGAGCAACACUCUUCUCCUCUUACUUUGGGAUCAAGCAAGCUGCACGCCUAUAUAAGAGCAUCAACAAGCAUCGGCCACACUUUUUUCGCAUCUCAGAUUCGGCGCAGGCUUCCCUUCUCCUCCAAGUCAAGCCAUUCGGCCAUCUCUUCUUCUCCUCUUUCUUUUUAUUUUUGGUUUUGUUUCAGUCAUGAGUGGCUGAAACCCUUUUUUCUAGUUGAAGAUUGAUUGAUACUUUAGUUGUUUUAUGGAUUGGAGAUCUGAA